GCUCUUGUAGCUCAGUUGGUUAGAGGGUACACUUAGUUAGCGAAUGUCUUGAGUUCAACUCUCAAUAAGAGCA
rnacentral:tRNA from 1 species